UAGAGGAAGUAAAAGUCGUAACAAGGUUUCCGUAGGUGAACCUGCGGAAGGAUCAUUACCGAGUGAGGGCCCUUUGGGUCCAACCUCCCACCCGUGUUUAUUUACCUUGUUGCUUCGGCGGGCCCGCCUUAACUGGCCGCCGGGGGGCUUACGCCCCCGGGCCCGCGCCCGCCGAAGACACCCUCGAACUCUGUCUGAAGAUUGUAGUCUGAGUGAAAAUAUAAAUUAUUUAAAACUUUCAACAACGGAUCUCUUGGUUCCGGCAUCGAUGAAGAACGCAGCGAAAUGCGAUACGUAAUGUGAAUUGCAAAUUCAGUGAAUCAUCGAGUCUUUGAACGCACAUUGCGCCCCCUGGUAUUCCGGGGGGCAUGCCUGUCCGAGCGUCAUUGCUGCCCUCAAGCCCGGCUUGUGUGUUGGGCCCCGUCCUCCGAUUCCGGGGGACGGGCCCGAAAGGCAGCGGCGGCACCGCGUCCGGUCCUCGAGCGUAUGGGGCUUUGUCACCCGCUCUGUAGGCCCGGCCGGCGCUUGCCGAUCAACCCAAAUUUUUAUCCAGGUUGACCUCGGAUCAGGUAGGGAUACCCGCUGAACUUAAGCAUAUC
rnacentral:rRNA from 1 species